GGAACCCAUCCUCCUUGCUGUGAGGGCGCCCAGUGAGCUUGUCCCGCUUACGAGACCCUCGCACGCGUCCCGCCUCCCUACCCCGCGGAGUCACCCCAGCAAGGGAAGAAAUGACCCCAGACCGAGCUGGGCCCUGAGCCCCUUCGACCGGACUGGGCCUUGCCUUCGGGCCGCACAGGAAGCGGGUGGGGAGCCCACACGGAAUAUUCCCCGCCUCCGCCCUCGGCCUUCUUUUGACCGCGCAGGCGCAGGUAAACGAAAACUAGUUCCUGGGAGCAGCAAGUCUGCUUUAUGGGUACAAGUCCCCCUUACCCCUUACACUGAGCCAAGCGGAGAAAUCCCAUUUCUGACUGAGUGACCAGAUCCCUGAAGACAAGCUGAAUGGAGGAAACAGCUUUCCUUGUCGCCUUUUCAAGAAAGAACCAUCUAACUCAACCAGUCCCAUAGCAACCCAACCUAGAUCCCACGGAGACCUCCCAGACACAACCAAGUUCUGCCUGGGCCUCCGCUAGUCAGCAGCUUUCUGGCAUGCCGCUGAUUACCCACCCCCCACCCCACUUGCCAUCUCCAGCUGGGUUCAGCACCCCUGAAGGUCAAGUUUACAGUCUGUCUUACUCUUUUUAGACAGCCCUACCUCAUAACAUGCAUUAGACAGUCAGUAGUUGUCAGGGUGCAUGGAAAGAGGAGUAUUCUUUACACAACAAAAUUCCUGGACCUGAACCCCAGCUC